rnacentral:rRNA from 1 species
GAUGAACGCUGGCGGCGUGCCUAAUACAUGCAAGUCGAGCGAACGGACGAGAAGCUUGCUUUUCUGAUGUUAGCGGCGGACGGGUGAGUAACACGUGGAUAACCUACCUGUAAGACUGGGAUAACUUCGGGAAACCGGAGCUAAUACCGGAUAAUAUUUUGAACCGCAUGGUUCAAAAGUGAAAGACGGUCUUGCUGUCACUUAUAGAUGGAUCCGCGCUGCAUUAGCUAGUUGGUAAGGUAACGGCUUACCAAGGCAACGAUGCAUAGCCGACCUGAGAGGGUGAUCGGCCACACUGGAACUGAGACACGGUCCAGACUCCUACGGGAGGCAGCAGUAGGGAAUCUUCCGCAAUGGGCGAAAGCCUGACGGAGCAACGCCGCGUGAGUGAUGAAGGUCUUCGGAUCGUAAAACUCUGUUAUUAGGGAAGAACAUACGUGUAAGUAACUGUGCACAUCUUGACGGUACCUAAUCAGAAAGCCACGGCUAACUACGUG